UACGUAGGGCGCAAGCGUUUGUCCGGAAUUAUUGGGCGUAAAGAGCUCGUAGGCGGCUUGUCACGUCGGAUGUGAAAAGCCCCGGGGCUUAACCCCGGGUCUGCAUUCGAUACGGGCAGGCUAGAGUUCGGUAGGGGAGAUCGGAAUUCCUGGUGUAGCGGUGAAAUGCGCAGAUAUCAGGAGGAACACCGGUGGCGAAGGCGGAUCUCUGGGCCGAUACUGACGCUGAGGAGCGAAAGCGUGGGGAGCGAACAGGAUUAGACUAC
rnacentral:rRNA from 1 species